AACCAUUCUCACCUGCGGCUAGACCUGCGGAAGGAUCAUUAACAUUUUUGGAGGUAGGCUGUAUAAGUCUGGUUGGUAACAACUAGCAUGGCCCCUCUGAUUUGUACCCUUGUCUAUUUGCGCACUUAUGUUUCCUCGGUGGGCUUGCCUGCCGAUUGGACAAACUUAUAACCUUUUUAAUUGUUAAAUCAGCGUCUGAAACAAACAUAAUAAUUACAACUUUCAGCAACGGAUCUCAGA
rnacentral:misc_RNA from 1 species